rnacentral:rRNA from 1 species
CGGAUACGCCCUUUUGGGGAAAGAUUUAUUGCCGAAAGAUUGGCCCGCGUCUGAUUAGCUAGUUGGUGGGGUAACGGCUCACCAAGGCUACGACGGAUAACUGGUCUGAGAGGAUGAUCAGUCACACUGGAACUGAGACACGGUCCAGACUCCUACGGGAGGCAGCAGUGAGGAAUCUUGCACAAUGGGCGAAAGCCUGAUGCAGCGACGCCGCGUGAGGGACGAAGGCCUUCGGGUUGUAAACCUCUGUCAGUAGGGAAGAAGAAUGACGGUACCUACUGAGGAAGCUUCGGCUAACUACGUGCCAGCAGCCGCGGUAAUACGUAGGAAGCAAGCGUUGCCCGGAAUUACUGGGCGUAAAGAGCUCGUAGGCGGGGGCGUGCGUCCGGGAAGAAAUCUCAAGGCUCAACCUUGGGGCUAUCUCGGAUACGGCGCUUCUUGAGGGUGAGAGAGGAAAGUAGAAUUCCCGGUGUAGCGGUGAAAUGCGUAGAUAUCGGGAGGAAUACCAGCGGCGAAGGCGACUUUCUGGCUCAUUCCUGACGCUGAGGAGCGAAAGCGUGGGUAGCGAACGGGAUUAGAUACCCCGGUAGUCCACGCCGUAAACGAUGGAUACUAGUGUAGGAGGUAUCGACCCCUUCUGUGCCGGAGUUAACACAUUAAGUAUCCCGCCUGGGGAGUACGGUCGCAAGGCUGAAACUCAAGGAAUUGACGGGGGCCCGCACAAGUGGUGGAGCAUGUGGUUUAAUUCGACGCUACGCGAAGA